CCUGUAGCUCAAUGGAUAGAGCGUUGCCCUCCGGAGGCAAAAAUGCAGGUUCGAUUCCUGUCAG
rnacentral:tRNA from 1 species